rnacentral:lncRNA from 1 species
UACUGACUCUAGGAAGGGCUGGAGUUGUUUUGAAUGGGCGCCCGUAAGAGAGGUGGGCAACUCUCCCUGUCCAGCCGCCUGCAGCUGACCCUGUACCAGUACAAGACGUGUCCCUUCUGCAGCAAGGUCCGAGCCUUCCUCGACUUCCAUGCCCUGCCCUACCAGGUGGUGGAGGUGAACCCUGUGCGCAGGGCUGAGAUCAAGUUCUCCUCCUACAGAAAGGUGCCCAUCCUGGUGGCCCAGGAAGGAGAAAGCUCG